AUCUCCCGACCUCUGCGUCGCUACCUUGCGACGAGGUCGGGGAAUCGUCUAUCAUCACAUCGUGAACUAAUCUGUUGUUUUGCAGAGAAUCUAAUGUGUCACUUUAGUACUUCUUCUGUUAAAGUAUUAUCCAUUUAAAGUGCAAGUGGAUCAGAGCUGACUCUCGAGGAACACUUCGUCACGAGGAAGAAACACUCGAAUACCAUUCGACCAACAGAUGCUGCGGAAGUCUCUCGAAGUACUGCCGAAAUUCCUCGAACUCGGUGUCGGCCAUUCUGUUAGCGAACGGUUGUGAAACGACGU